UGCAGUGCGUCUCGGACGCACGGCCCGGUUGGCGCAGGCGCGACCCGGGCGAUGGGCUGGUGGGCGGGGUGCAGGGGUUUAGAGCCCGGGGCAGGUAGGCCCAGCCCCUAGGUCACUCGCGGGAGCAGGUCUUGAGCGCGUUCCCUGCCUGCUCCGGGCUCUGCUCCACGACCGGGUCAGUGUCGGCCUCCCUCUUCCGCGGCGCUGCGCCCGCAGUCUGAGAGAUCCUUGAAUACUCCUAGACCAAAGGCUGGGCAGGUCCAGAAAAUUAUCAGAGCUUUUCUUGCAGACUCGGCUACAGCUUAGUGAGAAGAUGGAGGUGGCACAACUAAUGGAAAUAUCUGAAAUAUUUAAUGAAAAAGAAUAAACUGGGCUUCCCUGGUGGCGCAGUGGUUGAGAGUCCG